rnacentral:RNase_P_RNA from 2 species
GCGGAGGGCCGGAUGGCCGCGUGAGGGGCAACCCUCGCGAGGAAAGUCCGGACUCCACAUGACAAAGGUGCCGGGUAACGCCCGGGCAGGGCAACCUGACGGAGAGCGCCACAGAAAUGAAACCGCCUGUCCCCCCAUGGGUUCGCCUGCAGGGACCAAGGGGCAGGUAAGGAUGAAACGGUGGGGUAAGAGCCCACCGCGCCCCUGGCAACAGGGGUGGCACGGCAAGCCCCACCUGGAGCAAUGCCAAAUAGGAUCCCCGCGCGGGCAGCGUCGGUUUAGGCCGAUACCUCCGCUAGGCACGACAUGACCGAGAGGGAUCGGGUUGGCAGCUAGAGGGUCCUGGCAACAGGUCCCCCAGAGGAAUGGUCAUCAAAGGGGGCAACCCCGGAACAAAAUCCGGCUUAUAGGCCCUCCGCGCAA